GACGAACGCUGGCGGCGUGCUUAACACAUGCAAGUCGAACGGGCCUGCCUGGCUUUGGUUGGGUGGGUGAGUGGCGAACGGGUGAGUAACACGUGAGUAACCUGCCCUCUUCUCUUGGAUAACUGCUUGAAAGGGCGGCUAAUACGGGAUGUUCUGGCCGCCUCGCAUGGGGUGGUUUGGAAAGAUUCGGCCUGGUUUUGGUUGUUUUGGUGGGGGAUGGGCUCGCGGCUUAUCAGCUUGUUGGUGGGGUGAUGGCCUACCAAGGCGGUGACGGGUAGCCGGCCUGAGAGGGUGGACGGUCACACUGGGACUGAGACACGGCCCAGACUCCUGCGGGAGGCAGCAGUGGGGGAUUUUGCACAAUGGGCGCAAGCCUGAUGCAGCGACGCCGCGUGAGGGAUGGAGGCCUUCGGGUUGUGAACCUCUGUCGCCGGUGAUGUAGGCUCUGCU
rnacentral:rRNA from 1 species